AGUGAACGCUGGCGGUAGGCCUAACACAUGCAAGUCGAACGGUGGCACAGUAAGAGCUUGCUCUUACGGGUGGCGAGUGACGGACGGGUGAGGAAUACGGCGGAAUCUACUUUUUCGUGGGCGAUAACGUAGGAAGACUUCCGCUACUACCUCAUACGAUUUAAGAUAGAAAGUAGGGGUUCUUGGGACCUUGCGCUAACGCAUGAGUCGAUGUCGGUUUUGUUAGUUGGCGGGGUAAAGACCCACCAAGGCGACGAACCGUAGCUGGUCUGAGUGGAGGACCAGCCACACUGGAACUGAGACACGGUCCAGACUCCUACGGGAGGCAGAAGAGGGGAAUUUUGGACAAGGGGCGCAAGCCUGCUCAGGCCAUACCGCGUGGGUGAAGAAGGCCUUCGAGUGGUAAAGCCCGUUUGUAGGGAAAGAAAAGCAGCAGGUUAAAACCCCGCUGAUGUGACGGUACCCAAAGAAUAAGCACCGGCUAACUUCGUG
rnacentral:rRNA from 1 species